CCUUGAAAUACCACCCUUUAAUGUUUGAUGUUCUAACGUUGACCCGUGAUCCGGGUUGCGGACAGUGUCUGGUGGGUAGUUUGACUGGGGCGGUCUCCUCCUAAAGAGUAACGGAGGAGCACGAAGGUUGGCUAAUCCUGGUCGGACAUCAGGAGGUUAGUGCAAUGGCAUAAGCCAGCUUGACUGCGAGCGUGACGGCGCGAGCAGGUGCGAAAGCAGGUCAUAGUGAUCCGGUGGUUCUGAAUGGAAGGGCCAUCGCUCAACGGAUAAAAGGUACUCCGGGGAUAACAGGCUGAUACCGCCCAAGAGUUCAUAUCGACGGCGGUGUUUGGCACCUCGAUGUCGGCUCAUCACAUCCUGGGGCUGAAGUAGGUCCCAAGGGUAUGGCUGUUCGCCAUUUAAAGUGGUACGCGAGCUGGGUUUAGAACGUCGUGAGACAGUUCGGUCCCUAUCUGCCGUGGGCGCUGGAGAACUGAGGGGGGCUGCUCCUAGUACGAGAGGACCGGAGUGGACGCAUCACUGGUG
rnacentral:rRNA from 1 species